rnacentral:rRNA from 1 species
UCGGGAAUUUUGGGCAAUGGGGGAGACCCUGACCCAGCAACGCCGCGUGAAGGAUGAAGUAUUUCGGUAUGUAAACUUCGAAAGAAUAGGAAGAAUAAAUGACGGUACUAUUUAUAAGGUCCGGCUAACUACGUGCCAGCAGCCGCGGUAAUACGUAGGGACCAAGCGUUGUUCGGAUUUACUGGGCGUAAAGGGCGCGUAGGCGGCAUGACAAGUCACUUGUGAAAUCUCUGGGCUUAACCCAGAACGGCCAAGUGAUACUGUCGCGCUAGAGUGCAGAAGGGGCAAUCGGAAUUCUUGGUGUAGCGGUGAAAUGCGUAGAUAUCAAGAGGAACACCUGAGGUGAAGACGGGUUGCUGGGCUGACACUGACGCUGAGGCGCGAAAGCCAGGGGAGCAAACGGGAUUAGAUACCCCAGUAGUCCCUGAGCGGGCUGGCAAGGCGCAU